rnacentral:tRNA from 1 species
UUUAAUGUGGUGUGAUAAGCAUACUACAUUUUGGAUGUAGGGGGGAUUAGUUGUCCGUUAGUC